UUACUUACCUGCACGGGGUCAAUAGGUGAUCAGAAAGGCCUAUGGCCUAGAAGAGUGACCUUCAUUGCACACAGAAGGGGUGUUGUUCUAAGGUUUGUCCAAGUGACAAAACCUACGUCAUAAUUUGUGUCAGAGGAGACUUGCGUUAGUGCAACCCCUAC
rnacentral:snRNA from 1 species